rnacentral:rRNA from 1 species
UCGAAUCCUGCUAAGCAGACGACCCGAGAACAUGUUUAUCGCACNGGUGUCGGAACGGGGGAAACCACGGACCGAUGCCCCUAGCACGGCGUCCACCACCGGUCGUAUCGUCGUCGUAAACAACCAACCCGGGCAGAAACGCGCCAAGGAAAACUUAAAAAGGAUUGUCUGCCCCCCGUCGUGCCGUAUGCGGUGCGCACGGGAGGAUUACGGACGCCUAAUGAAACA